GUCUUGAUCUCCAAGUUAAGAGUUGUUGCUGUUCUCUACCAUGUUGCCAAGAACUGAAUGAAACUUGAUUCGCCAGCCCUAUUAAUUUUAUUGGUGGCAUCCAACAAGAGACAUUUUGGUUGCCUUUGAACAACUUCUUCUGGACCUAAACUAAAAGCAUAGAAGGCUACAAAUUGAAUAGACAAUGGGCAGCUAAUUUUUCCUUCCAAUUUUUUCCUGACAAACAUCCACACUUCCAUCAGGAUGAAUGGAAGGAGCAAAACUUGUGUUGGCAUGAAUAUGUAGCUAUUGCUCUGUACCUUUGGAGCUCUACUUGAAGUUCUUGGAUCAUACAUAAAAGUGUACUUGAGUUAAUGCAAAGAUCAAUUUUUGUCUGCAUGCAGUAUGAUAAUAGAAUCACGAGCCAUAAACAGAUCUAGACAAUCAAGCUUCAAGAGUUCAUAUUUCAUCUGACAAACAGAACAGCUACUAUCAAAUAAGUCUAUAUACCAAUUGAAUCUGUGCUUUAAAGCUUCAGCUUUGCAAUUAUUUAUAAUAGGGAAAAGGGAAGUUUCCUUGAUUCAAAUUUCCCUAAGUGUAAUUGUCUGUAUUUUCUGCCUGUAGGUAUAAGUAGAGGAAAUAAGAAGAGGGAAGUUGAAUAUCUCACCCUUUGUAACCUACUAUGGAAAGUACAAAAAACAAAUGUGCUAGUCAUUUAUGUAUUGAGUUGUCAUUUACCCAGAAUCACAAAGACUAAAAGCCCGAAAUUUCUUACAAAAUACAGAGACUGGUUUACUUCUAAUAUAUAGCUUGUUUAGGCUUUCAUACCAGUGUAAACUGGCUGAAUAAAAACUGCUGCAUGAAGAAAGUUGUCUACUGUUUUGUAAUCUUGUAAAUAUGUGUACUGGUGCAACUAUUUAAUAUUUUCAUCUUC